rnacentral:rRNA from 1 species
UACGAAGGCCCCGAGCGUUAUCCGGAUUUAUUGGGCGUAAAGCGUUAAAAGGCGGUCUGGAAAGUACCUGGUCAAAUUCUGCGGCUUAACCGUAGAGCUGCCGGGUAAACUCCCAGACUUGAGGUCGGAAGAGGCAAACGGAACUACCGGUGUAGUGGUAAAAUGCGUUCAUAUCGGUAGGAACACCAAAGGCGAAGGCAGUUUGCUGGUACGAAUCUGACGCUAAAUAACGAAAGCGUGGGGAGCGAAUGGG